CCCGCCUUUCUGCUCUUCUGUCCGGGGUUGUGCGGUUACCUGACGGGCGUCCAGGGCUCCAGCCCUGAUCCCGGACAAGGCGGCGAGCGGCAGCGGGGGACACUGGCAGGAAGGGUGGGCCCGCGGGUCGUGCGCCAGGGAGUUGAAGCAUCCUAGAUGCAAGAAUACAACUAUACAGGUUGCCCCUGACCAGGUUCAAGCAGAUGUGCACAACAACUUACAAAAUGAUCUGCUGUGCUCUGUCCGGAACCAGGUACCAGACUCCCAAGCUGGGUGUGUGAGCUUCCCUCUUGAAGACUGCUACAGCCAAGGGAGAGGAAUCACAGACUCUUGCUUCUCUACACUUCCAUCCAUCAUUUCUGCAGAUCAUGAAAACUGAAUUUGUUGAACACCAGAAAGCUGUUGAUAUGAUGUUGUAUAAACCAUAACAUUGUGUGCUGACCAUCCGCAGUUAUUAAGCCAGCUGGUAACUGGUUAGUGAAUGCCUCCUCUGUAAGUAAGCUCUUCUCUUAGUCCUUCUGUAGCUGUGACUGCUCCACCAAAUCCUUUCUUUCCUUUCAUACCCUCUCUGAAUUUCUGAAGGUACAAUUUCAGAGGUUCCACAUAACUGGCAAAGCCCAAGGUGGACAUGGCAAAGAGAAUGUCUUCUCCAUUGAUCGUCCUCUGUUUCUCUUUCACUUGUUUCAGAUGCUGUAAAGCUAAGAACUCACACAUUCUUGAAUACAUUCUUUGGCAUCUGUUGCAAUCUUUCCUGUUUGAGGUGUGGCAUUCUUCAUUAUCCUAGCCACAUUUGCAACUGGAAGAUAUAUUUCUUCUUGAGAAGCAUCUGUGGUAGAACUGUCACCGUCCAUUGUCAUGAAAUACUGUCAGAACCGUGGUGUCAGUGGUGCUCAGAGCACCUUUUUAAAAAGGUGUCUAAUCUUUGCUCAAUUCCAACCCAUGUUUAAAGCAUCUUGUUCUAAUACUUCGGGUGAGAUAACGAUUUGCGAGUGCUCUGGAAUUCUUUGUUCUCCCAGACUACUGCUCCAUAAGCCCCUGCCUAUCCUCCUGCCUCCCACCAGCGAUGAUCAAAACCUUAGUGCAAUCCGAACGGCUUCCUUCCCACCUUCGGGGCAAGUCCAGGGACCACAAGCCACCAGAUGACUGCAUUCUUUACGUGCAAACCAGACUGCAGGACACCAACGCCAUUCCUGCCUCCCGGGCCCGAGGCCGAGCCCGCCGACCUGUCAGCAUCGUUCGUGCUGCGCGGACACCCGAUGGCCCAGCCAGCCCGGACCUGGCACCCAACGCUCGUCUCCCGCCCUCCGCGCGGCACCGGGGUGCGCAGGCGGACAAGGAGGCCGGACUCGGCCAGGACCCCGCGGACCCAGGAGCCGGCGGUCGGGGGUGCUCCGCGGGGCCCGCGCGGCUGCAGAAGCCGAGGGGGCAGGGUCGGGGCGGCGGCGGGGACCCGGGCCGCCUCCCCCGCUAGCCGGCCUGCUCCCCGCACAAAAUGGAGCCGGCCCAGGGCGCCACCGAGAGAGACCCCGACCGUGCCCCGCCGGCAGCCCUCUUCUGCCUCGGACUCGGAGUUCAAGGGUGGUGAGCGGGAGGCGGCCUGGCCCGCGUACCGCCCUCCUCGUUCGGCGCACAAAGAGCCGCGCUGCGGCCUCGCAGGCGCCGGCCCGGCCCAGGUCCAGGUCCGGGCGGGCGGGUGGGAGGGUAGUGCCCAGGCCAAGGCGGCAUUGGCUGCGGGGAUGGUGCUGGGACGGUUUUAACUAAAACACUGUAGUUAAUUUAAUUAAAGGACGGAAAUCCUUAAGGAUCUUUACACCACCCACCUGUGACUGUUUUCCUCUUCGUUUGAACCAAGUCAUUUUUUUCUUCGAAUUGUUACUUAUCAUACAUAAUUGGUGAUGAUCCUCUAACAGUUCAGAGACUAUGUCUUAUUUUUCUAUUAGAUUUCAGAAUUCAUAGCUAGUGUGAAGUGAUGUGUAACACCCAGUGUUUUCAGAUGUAAACUGAAGGCACGUUUGAGUAGGUGCUCUUAUUGUAUAGUGUUGUUCUAGCUGUUUUUUAGCUUAACCUAGAAGCAGACAGAUGUUUGUGCAUAAAACAGACUGCAGAAACCUAUUGUGUACCUUCCUUUACCAUGAUUUCAAACUGCACUGAUAAAACCUGUAGAUGCCCUGAGCUAAACUUAAGAAGAGGAGUCUGAAUGUCAUUCACUCUGUUAAAAGCAUGUUAGAAAUGACUUGUAAAAUACUGUGUUUUCUAUUCUUAUUUAAGCCAAGACAAUUUACUAACAUGUAUUUUUCAAAUUAGCUAAUACACUUCAAUUAUGAAUGUUAUAAAUUCAUUUUGUAACAUUGUUUAACAGUUAACAUUAUGUAUAUUUCAAACUUUUCUUGCCCUAAGUAAUUGGUGAACUGUUUCUUUAGAUAGAAAAUGUAUUGUGUUUUUACAUAUAUGGUGACAUCUAAUACGUAUAGUAUAUAUUAUUUAUGCAUGUAUUUAAAAUGCAUAAAGAACCAUAUCCAGAUUAUUUUAGAGGCUAGUUUACAUUACUUAUUGAUAUACCUCUAAAAUUACAGUUGUAUCCUAGAAACUUACUGUUAGUUACAUUAUUACUCAAACAAAUGAAAUGUGUUAGCUUAAAACAUUUUUAGAUAUUGAUACUGUUUGAUCAUUUAAAGCUCCUUAGGUAAAGUAUGAUUGGAAAACAUCCUGAGCAUUCUUGUUACAGUUAUGGCUGCCUGGCAACUUAGUUCAAAAUCAGAAUAGCAAUGAAAAGCAUCAUAGUAAACUCCCUCGCACCAAUUAUUGUUAUUUUUGGGCAACACUACACAUAUGUUCUGGUGAAUGUAUUAUCAUUACGUUUAUUUAAAUCCUUGAUAAAAUCAUUACUUAUUUUAUUUUGCUUACCUAGAAAUUAGAUUCAGAGGUAAAGCAGCCUUUGUUUGUAAUUAUUAGUUGGUAUUCUCUUGUGUCACCAAAUGUGUUAUGGGGAAUGGGGAGAGUACCACUCAGAGACUGAAUUUGGGUAGAACUUUAUUGAUGAGUCGCAGACUGACCAGCCAGGGACACAGUACAGACUUGGGAGCCACACUGUGUUGCUGGUUCCCUGUCUAGCAAGACUUAUAUGGGGCAAAAUCACAAUGUAGGUGGCAGGGUUCGGUUACAAUUUUCUGGUGUAAUAAGUAGGGGUUUUCAACUAUGUUUGCAUGAGCUAAUGACAUUUCUUGGAAUUGGCAAGGUUACAGAGGAACUGGCUGUCUUUAAGCUAGGAUGUGGUUAGGCAAUAGGACAUUUCACAGGGUACAUGCAACAUAGAAUUUUUUUCUUAACUGCAUGGGUGGGGAUAGGUCACUUCUUGGUCAUAAGUAUUCAACAUGGCAUUUGUCCUGCUUUCUCUAACAUACGUUUUUAUCAUGUAACAGCUUAGAUGAAAUAUGGAGCUUUCUGUCUCUCUUUGAUUUCUCCUGGUUACCAGUAUUAAUCCCCUCCAAAUGUUUCACACAAAUGAAAACUCUACAGGAUGUAGCCCAUUGUAUGUACAAUUUUCCAGAAUUACAAGUUCUGUCUGUUCUUUUGUAAACCUUUCAAUACUCCAACAGUUUCUUUCCAAAAUAAAAGUCUGGAAUCAUCCAUACUAAAAUUAAGAAUUUAUAACUGGGAGGCACGGAUGUUUUCAUAAACAUUUCCUAUAAUUAAUUUCAACCAGAGGAUUGAGGAAACAAAGCAGUUUUUCCUACUCCAAAACUUUAUUGCCUUUUUCCCAUAUAGCAGACUCUGAAAUCUUUUUUAAUAUGGUUAGUGAAAUUAUACUCCUUAUUUAGUAUGUUUUUGAAAAAAAAAAAACUGCUUUUUUUUCCUUAUUGCCAUCUCGUGUACCUUGAAAGUUAAAUUUAAUCUGAUAUUUUCAUUUUGUAGCAGUUAUAAACCAGAAAAGACCUUUGUAAUUUUAUAAUUUCUUAGCAAGAUAAAAAUUCUUCUUUUAAAGAUCAAGUUUCAAUUAUUUGAAGGAUUUUAUAUUUGAUUUGAUAAACAGAAGCUUUAAGAAGAAAUGGUGAGAUGUAAAUAAUCAUAAUCCUUAAUUUUAAGGAUAGAGAAGGCUCAUAUUUAAAAUAUAUACCAUAGCGCUUAUUCUGUGCUGGUUAUGGAAUAUUUCACAGGAAAUGGCUGCAGUGUGUGAAUAUGUUGUUGGAAAUUUCCGUUUAGAGAGACAAAGGCAAACUUUAGUUCUUUCUGGUUUAUUAUAAUACUGCUAAUUUUUAAAAAAUAAAGUGAAGUGUACCUUGCCUAAGUUUUCAAGAAAUCAACAACAAAUACACAGCUGGAUUAAAUCAUAAAUAUUUAGCUUUUUUAGUCACCAUUUACUCAUGCUGUAAUCCAUCCUAGGAAUCUUUUUGACCCUUUUUUUGAGGAGAAAACAAAAGAGGAAGAAGAAAGAAAACCUGAAAGUGUACCUUGCAAAAUGAGUUAAAGGUUUAUUAAGUGGACACAGUCCAUUUUCCAUCCUCCUGAGUACUUUGGCACAGCUGUAAAGAUCUUGAAGAGAAACAUUCUUGACUAAUCUGUCAACUGUAAAAUGUGUACAGAAAAAUAGGUAGCUAUCACUAAAAUUACACUUCAGCUUUCAGUAACCAUUUAAUGAGUAGCAUAAUUAUAUAAGUAUGGAGACGUAAGUACUCUACUCAAUAAUUAAAAAUAAUCUCAUCUUUACACUGAAAGUUCUGUAAUUACUAUUUGACUUCACCAGGACCACUGUGGGAAUCUCCAGUGGCACGCUGAGUUGUUCAGAGUGGAUUAAAAUCAUAAGAUAAAAUUGGAUAAAUCAUUAAAUUAUUAAGCUUUAAAUAUUACAAGAAUGAAUGUAUCCUGAUAUUUGGAAGUUACAUUGUAGGAAUUUGCAGUCUAAAACCAGAUUCUGAUGUUCAUUUUUUUCUCUUUGCCAUGAAAGUGAUUUUAUUUCCUAUGAUUUUAAAAACAGAUUUAUUUGAAAGGCAGAGUUACAGAGAGAGAGAGAGAAAUCUCUCAUCUGCUGGGUUAUUUCCCAGAUGGCCACAACAGCUGGGGCUGGACCAAGCUGAAGCCAGGAGCCGGGAGCUUCUUCCAGGUCUCCCAUGGGGGUGCAGGGGCCCAGGCCAUAGAGGGAGCUGGAUCAGAAGUGGAGUAACCAGGUCUCAAACCUGUAUCCCAUAUGGCAGGUGGUGGCCUUACCCGCUGUGCCACAGUGCUGGCCCCUGGUAUCAGCCCUUUCUUACCUGGCCUGAGUUAUGCCUGGUGUAGCACCACUGUGGCCAGGAGCUUGAAGCUGAGCUGAACACCUCACCCAGCACACACAGGCUGCACCCACCGCACAACUACAAUCCCAGAGCACCCACAGGGGACUGCUGGGAGCCCAGGAUUUACAACAAUCAGUGAUCAAUGCACCCCACGCAGGACAUUAGGCAGUGCGGGCUGUGGACUCCCAGUAUGGCUUCCUGCCCUGGGGACUCCUGCCCUGGAGUUUGCAACCCAGUGCAAAUAGCUUAAUGUUUGCUUUCAGAGGCAUCGCCUGAGGUGCUUGGUUCCCCAUGGUUCCUUCAUCACCUUCUCAUCCCAAGUAUAGCCCUCUAGUGGUUCUGUGUGGGAGGUACAGAGGCUGGACCAUUCUGGGCUAUCUCAGCAUCUGGAUCCGAUGUACUCUAGGCUUGGCAGUAGGCUCAAGGCUCAGCACUUAAAUCAUUCAUAGCAGUUUGGAAAGAGCACAGGGAGAUUCCCCUCAAGAAAAGGGAAAAGCUUGCAGGAAAGAUUCUGAAAAAUAAGAUUAAGGAGGGCUUCUGCCUGCUCAGAUGACAUGCCUUGGGCUUCUUCCCUCUUGCAAAAUCAACAUCCCAUUGGGCAAGCGUAACUACACAUUUAAGACUGCACCCACCCCCGCUAUCAUUCAGACUUCUGAAAAAAAUAUUUCUAUGGAAAAACAUCAGGGGCUGGGGCUGUGGCACAGUGGGUAAAGCCGCCGCCUGCAGUGCUGGCAUCCCACAUGGGUGCCAGUUCAUGUCCCGGCUGCUCCACUUCCGAUCCAGCUCUCCGCUGUGGCCUGGGAAAGCAGCAGAAGGUGUCCCAAGUCCCUGGGCCCCUGCACCCGCAUGGGAGACCUGGAGGAAGCUCCUGGCUGCUGGCUUCAGAUUGGCACUGCCAUUGCAGCCCUCUGGGGAAUGACCCAGCGGAGGGAAAACCUCUCUCUCAGCCUCCUGUCCUUAUAAACACGUGAGAACUCCAUGGAAGGGGAUCCCUGCAGCCGCAGCUAAUGUAGGAACACCUGGGGCACCUUCACGCAGGUCACUCAUCACACUCGAUAGCUCUCAUGCCUCAGGGACUGUUAGGAGGGUCCCAGGUACGGCCUUGGCAUUGUCAGUGAGCUGUGCUUAAAGCAGGCCUCCAUCCCAGUUUCUGGUGCUUUCUCAGAACGUUUAAGAGACAAGCAGUUAAUUAUUACUUCACAAGGGUGGCUGUAACAAGUUGUCAAGACAGCAGCUGAAAAAAUCCUGGGGUGCGUGUCCUGGCCCCGUAGGCUAGGCUGUAGUGUCUGAUGGCAGCGGCCCAUAGCAGGGUUCUGGUUCAAGCCCCAGUUCCUCUGUUUCCACUCCAGCUCCCUGCUAAUGCACCCAGGAAGCUGGCGGUGAUGAGCCACCCGUGUCUCCCACGUGCAAGUCCCGGGUAGAGCUCUCGGCCCAACCCUGGCUGCUGUGGGCAUUUGGGGAGUGACCUGACAGAUGCAAGAUUCUCUCUCUCUCUCCCCCACCCCAACCCUGUGUAAAUAAAUAAAUCUUAAAGCAAUUUAAAAAC